rnacentral:piRNA from 1 species
CAUAGUUGAUGUCACAGGCCCA